CUGGUAUUUACUGAAUGAACUGGAUACUUUUCACCACUGGAAAGAACUGGAUCAGUUCAUCAGUCCGUUUUUCCUGAACGGUGUCUUUAGACAUGACCAGAAGCCCUUCGCCGACUUUGUUGAUGAUGUGAAAGGUUACCUUAAGAGCAUAAAGGAGUAUCAAGUAGAGGAUGACAAUUUGGAGAAGUUGGACGGAUGUAUAUAUAGACACUUUGGGCACGUUUUCGCCCUUCCAUUCGGACCCAGGUCGGUUUACAUAAAACCAUGUUAUUAUAAUAGCUUCUAACAAUGAUACAGUUAAUGAUAAAAUGCAUAAUAGCAUUUUAUUUUAUUUUUUAAUACUUUGAGCUUCUUGGAAGGUUACUGUUUAUAAGAGACAAGCUUUAUUGACAAUGAAAUUCAGAAUAAAUUGAAAGACAGAGUUUUAAAAUUAUAACUAUUGCAAACUGAAAAAAAAUCCAUGUCAAUCACUUAGACUUGAACAAAUGAUUAAAAAUUAAAGGGUAUAUAAACUUUUUUUUUUUUUUUUGGUUCUUUUUUUUCGGAGCUGGGGACCGAACCCAGGGCCUUGCGCUUCCUAGGCAAGCGCUCUACCACUGAGCUAAAUCCCCAACCCCUAAGGGUAUAUAAACUUAAUUGAGCCAAUCUAGCUUCUUUCAGUAUAGUUUAUAUAAUUAGGUGAAAUUAUUUACUUUUAAUCUUUGACUUAGGAAGCUAGAAACAAAGACUUUAACGUAAAGCCCAGGUCAUGUGGAGCUGCCUACCUGCAGUCACUGUCAGUUUCGUUGAGUUCAGGAGCACUCAGUGCAGCCUUACUCCUGAGAAGGGUGCUGGGUGCUCAGAGCCACACAGCCCCACAAUGUUCUUCAAGACUGUGUCGUUGUCCUUCAGCCUUUCCUUCUGUAACUGUAAAUGUCUGUUACUCUGAGAGUCAAGUUCCGUCUUCAUAAUAAAUGCAAUGUGCCUAUAAAAUAAUGAG
rnacentral:lncRNA from 1 species